GCCUGGGUGGCUCAGUCGGUUGAGCACCCGACUUCGGCUCAGGUCAUGAUCUCACUGCUUGUGGGUUCAAGCCCCGCAUCAGGCU
rnacentral:tRNA from 1 species